UAUCUUUACAAUGUUGUUAAG
rnacentral:misc_RNA from 1 species